rnacentral:rRNA from 1 species
UACGUAGGGUGCGAGCGUUAAUCGGAAUUACUGGGCGUAAAGCGUGCGCAGGCGGUGAUGUAAGACCGAUGUGAAAUCUCCGGGCUUAACCCGGAAAGGUCAGCCGAUACUGCGGGGCUAGAGUGCAGAAGGGGCAACUGGAAUUCUCGGUGUAGCGGUGAAAUGCGUAGAUAUCGAGAGGAACACCUGCGGCGAAGGCGGGUUGCUGGGCUGACACUGACGCUGAUGUGCGAAAGCUAGGGGAGCGAACGGG